rnacentral:rRNA from 1 species
AUUGAACGCUGGCGGCAUGCCUUACACAUGCAAGUCGAACGGUAACGGGCCUUCGGGUGCCGACGAGUGGCGAACGGGUGCGUAAUACAUCGGAACGUGCCCGAUCGUGGGGGAUAACGAGGCGAAAGCUUUGCUAAUACCGCAUACGAUCCACGGAUGCAAGCAGGGGACCGCAAGGCCUUGCGCGGACGGAGCGGCCGAUGGCAGAUUAGGUAGUUGGUGGGAUAAAAGCUUACCAAGCCGACGAUCUGUAGCUGGUCUGAGAGGAUGAUCAGCCACACUGGGACUGAGACACGGCCCAGACUCCUACGGGAGGCAGCAGUGGGGAAUUUUGGACAAUGGGCGCAAGCCUGAUCCAGCCAUGCCGCGUGCAGGAUGAAGGCCUUCGGGUUGUAAACUGCUUUUGUACGGAACGAAAAGCCUUCUUUUAAUACAGGAGGGUCAUGACGGUACCGUAAGAAUAAGCACCGGCUAACUACGUG